rnacentral:rRNA from 1 species
UAACAAUACGGGACUCUAUUGAGGCCCCGUAAUUGGAAUGAGUACACUCUAAAUCCUUUAACGAGGAUCUAUUGGAGGGCAAGUCUGGUGCCAGCAGCCGCGGUAAUUCCAGCUCCAAUAGCGUAUAUUAAAGUUGUUGCGGUUAAAAAGCUCGUAGUUGGAUCUCAGUUCCAGACUGGCGGUUCGCCCUAGCGGCGAGUACUGUCAGGCCUGAACAUGGAGCCGGUUUUCCUUGGUUCUCUUUACUGAGUGUCUUGGGCGACCGGCACGUUUACUUUGAAAAAAUUAGAGUGCUCAAAGCAGGCUGUCGCCUGAAUAAUGGUGCAUGGAAUAAUGGAAUAGGACCUCGGUUCUAUUUUGUUGGUUUUCGGAACUCGAGGUAAUGAUUAAGAGGGACAGACGGAGGCAUUCGUAUUGCGACGCUAGAGGUGAAAUUCUUGGACCGUCGCAAGACGAACUACUGCGAAAGCAUUUGCCGAGAAUGUUUUCAUUAAUCAAGAACGAAAGUUAGAGGUUCGAAGGCGAUCAGAUACCGCCCUAGUUCUAACCAUAAACGAUGCCAACCAGCGAUCCGCCUGAGUUCCUCAAAUGACUCGGCGGGCAGCUUCCGGGAAACCAAAGUGUUUGGGUUCCGGGGGAAGUAUGGUUGCAAAGCUGAAACUUAAAGGAAUUGACGGAAGGGCACCACCAGGAGUGGAGCCUGCGGCUUAAUUUGACUCAACACGGGAAAACUUACCCGGCCCGGACACCGGAAGGAUUGACAGAUUAAGAGCUCUUUCUUGAUUCGGUGGGUGGUGGUGCAUGGCCGUUCUUAGUUGGUGGAGCGAUUUGUCUGGUUAAUUCCGAUAACGAACGAGACUCUAGCCUACUAAAUAGUGGACCGAUCCCUUGAGUCGGUCGAUCUUCUUAGAGGGACAAGCGGCGUUUAGCCGCACGAGACAGAGCAAUAACAGGUCUGUGAUGCCCUUAGAUGUCCGGGGCCGCACGCGCGCUACACUGAAGGAAUCAGCGUGUGCUCUCCCUGUCCGGCAGGACUGGGUAACCCGUUAAACCUCCUUCGUGAUAGGGAUAGGGGCUUGUAAUUGUUCCCCUUGAACGAGGAAUUCCCAGUAAGCGCGAGUCAUAAGCUCGUGUUGAUUACGUCCCUGCCCUUUGUACACACCGCCCGUCGCUACUACCGAUUGAAUGAUUUAGUGAGGUCUUCGGACUGGCGCUCGGAGCGGCCUCCGGGUCGCGCCGGCGUGCCGGAAAGAUGACCAAACUUGAUCAUUUAGAGGAAGUAAAAGUCGUAACAAGGUUUCC